rnacentral:lncRNA from 1 species
GUUUUAUAUAAGCCUUGUGGUAACCAUAAAACAGAAGCCUACAGCAGAUAUAAAACAGAUAAAAAAUAAAAAAAUCAAAGCAUACCAUUAGUGAAAAUCAGUUUUCACAAUGGAAGACAGUAAGAAGAAAUAACAAAGAAUUUACAAACAGCCAGAAAAUGAUUAAUAAAAUGGCACUCACAAGGCUGUGAAAUAAUUAGAAAUAUGUAUAUUGUUCCUAGUCUCUUACACAAAGCUCUGAAGGCUCUUGCAACUUCUUGAGAGACAUUGGUGCUAGGAGAAUCUCUUGUUCUAAUAUUUGAUCUUUGCACCAGUUCCUGGCAGAGCUCCUAAGACCUGUGUAAUUUUCAAAGUGAAAGGAGCAUUUGAAAUUUUCUGAGUGAUAGGAGUUUCCUUGCUCUAAUGGGGAGGCCCUUGGUGACCUCUUGGAUGGAAGCUGAUCACCAGAAAGACCAAGCUAAGAUCAUAAGCUUGGUGCAUCCCACCCCACUCUCCAUUCUCCAGAGACAGAAGAGUCACUCUAAACAGAGUAAAUAAGUGCCUAGGUGAUGAAGUCUCCUUAAAGGUGCCUGAACUAAGGCUCUGGAGAGUUCCUAGGUUGGCAUCAUAUACAUGCUUAAAGGGUAGUUUACUGCAACACCAUGAAGACUGAAACUUCUGUACUUGGGACACUUUCAGACCACACUUUAUCUCUUCACCUGGGUGUUUAUCUGUAUCCUUUAUUAUAUCUUAUUAUCAAACUUAUUUAUUUAAAAUCUAAUUAAAGUGCCUUCUUGAGUUUGGUGAGCUGCUCUAGCAUAUUAGUGAAACCCAAGCAGGGGGUAGGGGUAAGGAGGGGGCAAAAGGACAGUCAGUGCUGGCAAUGAAUGACUGGGUCAGGAAGAUGGGGGCUGAUUCAUAGGAAAUAAAAUGCUGAUACCUUCAAAGCACUUCCCCCUCCUCCAAUCAUUGCCAAGGUUACCUGCCUCCAACUCCCUGCAAGGAGUUGUCAAUGAAUGAAUGCCCCCUGGGCUGCUCCCUUCAUUCUUGGGCCACCAAAGGCUCCUUUCCCACCUCUUGGCCACAUAGGUAAGAUAAGAGGUGGAUGGGGCAUGAGAACAAAGGAAAU